rnacentral:rRNA from 1 species
UACGUAGGGCGCAAGCGUUAUCCGGAAUUAUUGGGCGUAAAGAGCUCGUAGGCGGUUUGUCGCGUCUGCCGUGAAAGUCCGGGGCUCAACUCCGGAUCUGCGGUGGGUACGGGCAGACUAGAGUGCAGUAGGGGAGACUGGAAUUCCGUGGUGUAGCGGUGAAAUGCGUAGAGAUCCGGAAGAACACCAAAGGCGAAGGCACCAUCCUGGGGAGUCACUGACGCUCGGGUG